GUUAAAGAUUGGCUACGAAUUGCAUACGGCAAUGCAACGAUGAUAGUCGGAUAGCAUCCUCUAAAAAGGAACUGUGGCUGAUCAAUGCGACGACUAUACUAAGUACUGAGGUGAAUUGCAUUUUAUAAAUACACCAGGUCUUCAGUUUCGAGACUGACAAGUCUCAGCCACUUGGAAUGCAACAAAUUAUUAUGAAGUACUGAAACGACUAGCGUAGCUAAGUAUCUUUGUAUGCCACAUUAAGUCACGAACUCUCCGAGUGAACACCAUUACACACCAAACUGAAAGCAACUGUUACAAAAAUGUAUUUUUUAUUGUUCUUGAUGUUUGGUGCUUUUCAGGCACACUUUGUACCAAUCACAAAUCCGAUAUGUUGCGUACCUCAUUCAUAUAACAUCAAUGAGACUAUGUGCUUCAAUAGUGCGCGCCGUUGGACCUAUGUAUCUCAGUACGAUACUUGCAUUAAAUUCACCUAUUUAGGAUGCGGAGGAAAUGCAAACAAUUUCCAGAGCGAAUACCAGUGUAGAAAAGCAUGUAAUGUAACAUCCGAAAAUAAACUUCCAUGGCAGCUCUCCUCAUAGUAACUCCAGCUGGGCCGUAAGUGGCCACAAACCCACUGUCCGAGGGCUUCUGUUGGUGUCGGCAGUUACAUAAAUUUAGUUAAUUUUCAUUUACAAAGGCCUGCAAAAUUUUCCAUAACUGGGCGAAGCAAAGAAGGCGCACUUAUUGAUCUGCCAGGCCCCUAAGGAGCACAGAUACAUAUAUAUCAGCUUGUCAAAUCAUUACUGGAGUUCACCACCGAAUC